rnacentral:misc_RNA from 1 species
AAGUCGUAACAAGGUUUCCGUAGGUGAACCUGCGGAAGGAUCAUUAUCGUAGAGCUUCGGCUCUUUCGAGGGAGAACCCUUGCCUUUUCGAGCACCUGUUUGUUUCCUCGGCAGGCCCGCCUGCCAAUGGGGACCUUUUUAAACCCUUGCGAUAACCUGAACAAAAAUCGUCUGAACAAAAAAAAAUCUAAAUCAAAACUUUCAACAACGGAUCUCUUGGUUCUG